UGGGGAAUAUUGCACAAUGGGCGCAAGCCUGAUGCAGCCAUGCCGCGUGUGUGAAGAAGGCCUUCGGGUUGUAAAGCACUUUCAGCGGGGAGGAAGGCGAUAAGGUUAAUAACCUUGUCGAUUGACGUUACCCGCAGAAGAAGCACCGGCUAACUCCGUGCCAGCAGCCGCGGUAAUACGGAGGGUGCAAGCGUUAAUCGGAAUUACUGGGCGUAAAGCGCACGCAGGCGGUCUGUCAAGUCGGAUGUGAAAUCCCCGGGCUUAACCUGGGAACUGCAUUCGAAACUGGCAGGCUAGAGUCUUGUAGAGGGGGGUAGAAUUCCAGGUGUAGCGGUGAAAUGCGUAGAGAUUUGGAGGAAUACCGGUGGCGAAGGCGGCCCCCUGGACAAAGACUGACGCUCAGGUGCGAAAGCGUGGGGAGCAAACAGG
rnacentral:rRNA from 1 species